GACGGAGGAUGCAAGCGUUAUCCGGAAUUAUUGGGCGGAAAGCGUCCGCAGGUGGCUGUUCAAGUCUGCUGUCAAAGCGCAGAGCUUAACUCUGUACAGGCGGUGGAAACUGAAGAGCUAGAGUAUGGUAGGGGUAGAGGGAAUUCCCGGUGUAGCGGUGAAAUGCGUAGAUAUCGGGAAGAACACCAGUGGCGAAAGCGCUCUACUGGGCCAUAACUGACACUGAGGGACGAAAGCUAGGGGAGCGAAAGGG
rnacentral:rRNA from 1 species